GACGAACGCUGGCGGCGUGCCUAAUACAUGCAAGUCGAGCGAAGCGGGGACGGGUGAGUAACACGUAAGGAACCUCCGAUAAGCGGGGGACAACAUCCGGAAACGGGUGCUAAACCGCAUAAUUAUCGAUGGCCUGCGUGCAUUAGCUAGUUGGUGGGGUAACGGCCUACCAGGCAAUGAUGCAUAGCCGACCGAGAGGGUCAUCGGCCACCUUGUGCCUGAGACACGGCCCAAACUCCUACGUGAGGCAUCAGUAGGGAAUCUUCCGCAAUGGGCGCAAGCCUGACAGAGCAACUCCGCGUGAGUGAAGAAGGUUUUCGGAUCGUAAAGCUCUGUUGUAAGAGAAGCGGUAUCUUACCAGAAAGCCACGGCUAACUACGUGCCAGCAGCCGCGGUAAUAC
rnacentral:rRNA from 1 species